rnacentral:tRNA from 1 species
GCGCGAGUAGCUCAGCUGGUAGAGCAUCACGUUGCCAACGUGAGGGUCGCCGGUUCGAAUCCGGUCUCGCGCUCCA